GAUGAAGAACGCAGCAAAAUGCGAUACUUGGUGUGAAUUGCAGAAUCCCGUGAACCAUCGAGUUUUUGAACGCAAGUUGCGCCCGAAGCCUUUUGGCCGAGGGCACGUAUGCCUGGGCGUCACGCAUCGCGUCGCCCCCCACAAUUCUCCGUAAAAGGAACAUGUGUUUUGGGGGCGGAUAUUGGUCUCCCGUGCUCAUGGCGUGGUUGGCCGAAAUAGGAGUCCUUUCGAUGGACGCACGAACUAGUGGUGGUCGUAAAAACCCUCGUCUUUUGUUUCGUGCUGUUGCUCGCAAGGUAAACUCUUUAAAAACCCCAAUGUGUCGUCUCUUGACGACGCUUCGACCGCGACCCCAGGUCAGGCGGGACUACCCGCUGAGUUUAAGCAUAUCAAUAAGCGGAGGA
rnacentral:misc_RNA from 1 species